AAGAGAAGAGAAGAGAAGAGAAGAGAAGAGAAGAGAAGAGAAGAGAAGAGAAGAGAAGAGAAGAGAAGAGAAAGGGAGGAACAAGACUGGAUGGACACAAGCUAAGAAGAACAGCAGAGAGAAGGCAACAAAAGGGAGCCAAGCCCUGUUUGAUUAAUUCCAAAAAGGGCAAUUCACCAAACAGCCAUUUCCAGCCAGCACUUAAACUCAGGCCAAUCUGCAAGCCCAGCCAUUCUUUGCAAAAGUGAUGUUUGCAAGCCUUUGUUAAUUCCUUUGUUUCUUUAAAGUUAUCAGCUUUACCUAUGGAUAUAAGAUGGCUUCUCAAUUCACAGUGAUUUCAAGCGAUGCGUUAAUUUUUCCAUUGGAAGCGUUAUCAAGUCCAUUCUCAGAUGCCCUUUUUACAGAGAAAUCCAAUUAGGAGAAGAGGAAGUAGUUGAAUGCUGGAAAGAUUGCUGUUUUUCAUGCCCUGCUGAGCUUGUGCCAAGAGAGCAGAAAGUAUCAGCAAAUUGAGAUGGACUACAACUGGAUGUUUUCAGCUACAGAUCCCACGGUUUAUUACUCAGGACAAAGAUAACAUGAAAGAAACUGUGUUGCCUUCGUAGACAGAAAGGAUAUGGAAAAGGGUAUAUUUGGGCACAACGCAGAUGAAAACAGACAUGGAAAAACAAGGAAAAUCUUCCAAAAGAUUUCUGAAGUCCAAAUGAGUUUUCAACCUUGAAUUGGUAUGCUAAAGGAAGCCAAUGGACAGAUAGUGCUCCAGUUAUUGCCAAUUUGGAAAGCUGAAUAGGGAUGAAUAUUUUGUAGACUGAAUAUCUACAAAAACACAGCAAGCAAAUCUGGAGAAUAACACAGUGGCUAACACAUUUUUUUUAAAAAAAAAUACACAAGGUUUUUUUUCUUUCCAACGACAUUUAUUAACCGUUUUUUGCCAAUCUUGGAAAAAUAAUUUGUGGAUUGAAAUUGAUGCCGUUUGAAUUGUAUUUUUUUAAAAAAAAUCUUAGGUAAGGCUAGUGCAUUCAUUUUAACAUUUGGGGCUGAUCCUAAUGAGCAUUUUUAAUUUUUCCACCUUUCAAAUUUUUAAAAUUUCUCUCAAGAAUUUGCUGUAAUUAUUUUGAAAUGUACCUUUGUUAUGCUCGUCAAAUACAUCCCAAAUAUUUCAUUGGGUCUUCUGAUGACUGGCAACUUUGUUAUUAUUUUUGUUUUUAUAUAUUACAUUUACACCCAGAGAACUAAUUAAACAGAACAAUGUACAUCCAACACUAACAACAAUAAAAAUUUUGAGUAUAAAAAAAGUGAUAUCAAAGAAUUGGUUUGUCUGUAGACUUGGCACAAUUUUCACUUGAAAUAAAUGAUUAA